CCUCCCUUACUCGAAGCUCCGACUCGGGCAGUUUCUCUCUGGCCGCCACGGAGGGAGGGUCGCGCUCCUCUCCUCUCGUGUUCUCAUCCCCGAGCAAGCGAGACUACCACUGCCUCUUGUGCUCCCGGUGUGACGAGAAUUUGUGGCUCUACUGAUAACUCACUCACUCCUUGGGUGUAUUUUUCUCGUUUUCCCCCUUCGUUUUUGAAAACUCUAAUAAAGGAGAGAGAGCGAGAAAGCAAGACGAGUACUAACUGGGGGUGUGUUUUUUUCUCUACUUUUUUUCUUCUUUUUGGAAGGUGGAGAUCAUGGAUUAGUUUGUCUUUUUGGUUGUUACUGGAAUGAUAUACUGGCAGGGGUGAAGGAAGGGUGUGUGUGUGCGUGCGUGCUCCCUUGAGUGUCUCCUGGAAAGUGGGUGAGGCGGUGGUGAUGGUGGUGCACGUCUGAAAGCACACGCACGCACUCACGCACACGCACAUUUACACGGACGCACGCACGUACAUUAUCCCAUCUCCCUGGCGAGGUCUCUAGUGAGGGAGACUUCCGCCGCUGCCCGACCCUUCUUUCAUAUUCUACUGACGAAGGUAAUUGUUUAUCCCAGCGAGGUGAAGACAACAACACUUCACAGUGAGCUGAGCCACGAACAAGACCCUUCGAAGCGGGACCCAUUGCACUGGUAUACGCUUCGCCUCAUCCCGCUUCGUCCCGCCUCGUCCCGUCCAGGGCAUUGUGGUUAUAGACACUCGCAUGCUCGUCUGUACUGGUGCUCUUGUUGUUGGUGGCGGUGGGGGAGGAAGGGGUUGCACAGCUAGGUAGAGGUAGAGAUAGAGGGAGAGAGGCGUGGUGGGAAUGGACACGUGGGCUCCUGUUAUGUUUUGUCUGUGAAGUCCAAAAGUUAUUUUUUUUGCCGUUAUGUUUUGGUUUGUUUUGCCGUGGUUGUUGUGUGGGUGAGGGUGAGGGUGUGUUGUUGUUGUUGUUGUUGUUGUUGUUGUUGUUGUUGUUGUUGCUGUUGCUGUUGUUGUUUUUGUUGUUGUAGUCUAAGGGAUUGUUGUUGUUGUUUGGUACUACUGCUACUGCUACUACUACUACUACUACUACUACUAUGACUACUACUACUACUACUACUACUACUACUACUACUACUACUACUACUACUACUACUAUUAUUAUUACUACUACUACUACUACUACUACUACUACUACUACUACUACUACUACUACUACUACUACUACUACUACUACUACUACUACUACUACUACUACUACUACUACUACUACUACUACUACUACUACUACUACUACUGCA